rnacentral:misc_RNA from 1 species
GAUGAAGAACGUAGCGAAAUGCGAUAAGUAGUGUGAAUUGCAGAAUUCAGUGAAUCAUCGAAUCUUUGAACGCACAUUGCGCCCCUUGGUAUUCCAUGGGGCAUGCCUGUUCGAGCGUCAUUUGUACCUUCAAGCUCUGCUUGGUGUUGGGUGUUUGUCUCGCCUCUGCGUGUAGACUCGCCUCAAAACAAUUGGCAGCCGGCGUAUUGAUUUCGGAGCGCAGUACAUCUCGCGCUUUGCACUCAUAACGACGACGUCCAAAAGUACAUUUUUACACUCUUGACCUCGGAUCAGGUAGGGAUACCCGCUGAACUUAAGCAUAUCAAUAAGCGGGA